ACCCACUACUUAACUUGCAUGAUUUUAUUUGCAUUAUGAUCACUUAAGUUCCUUUGAGCUUGUAACUUCAUUUCACUACAAGAAAAAUACCCAUUCAGCCACACUUUUUUUAAGCUACAUUUAAAAAGCGUAGCCUAUUCAUAGAAUAGAAUAGGCUACGCUUUUCUCUGUGUUUCUUUUUUAUAAGAGAAAAGGAUACACAAUUGUGGCAUCAUUUAAAAAGUGUAGCCUUAGGUAUUAUAGAAAUCACUUAUAAAGCGUAACCGUAGGUUGAUAUCUAUGGAUUCACUUUUUAUAUCAAAGACAACAUUUUUAAAGAGUGACCUAUUUAUUAUAUUUUGGGUGCGCUUCAAAAGUGAUGCCUGAUGUAUAUAAGGCCAAAUUCUAAACACUUGGUGAAUUUUUUAUUCCCCUUUCCUUCCAAAAGCACACACGCACACUAAGCUACUGCACCUUCAUCAAUUCGAGUAAGUGAGUAACCUGUAACCCUCACCUUCGCCAACCCUUUGGCGCACAACCCUCACCUUCGCCAUUCUCACCUUCAAUACUCAUCACCUACGACACUCAUCACCUUCGCCUUCUCACCGUCGCUGUUGACCGUCGCCACCCAGUCACCACUCACCACCAAUCACCACUCACCAAUCACCACAUCGUGCACUGGCCAGCUCACUAGCUCACCACUCACCGCCAGUCAUUGCUCACCGUUCACCAUCGACACUCAUCACCUUUGCCAUUGUCACCACUGCACUGACCAUCGCUCUUCUUCGCCGUUCUGCUCUAAUCGUCGCUGUGCCGCCCUAACCAUCGUCAUCUCCGUGCUUCUCAUCAUCAUCUUCUCUGUGCUCACAUCAUUGAAUAGGAAAAGUGGUUGGAGGUUUUGGUUUGUUCAGCGACAGAGCAAGAAAUUCUAAGAAGAAAUGGGAAGCCAAACCAUGCUGCCAUGAGUUUCAAAAAUUUUGAGUGUAUAUGAGCAGCAUAGUCAAGUGACUGUAGCAUAUGCUUCAUCUUCUUAUUCUGGCAUCUGGUAGGAAUGAGGAAAAUAUCUUAAAAAGUGUAUCUUAGGAUUGGAAUGCAAUCAGAUUUGGCACAGUCUUGGAAAAUGUGGUAUUUGAUGAGCAUUCUCGAGAGGUUGAUUACUCAGACAAAUCAGUUACAGUGACAGCUUCUGUUACAUAUGAUCACAAAGCAAUUGUUGUUAAUGGGCAGAGAAAGAUUCUAUUUUCUGGUUCUAUACACUACGCCAAAAGCACACCUCAGAUGUGGCCAGAGCUUAUUCAAAAAGCUAAAGAGGGAGGGUUGGAUGUUAUUCAAAUCUAUAUGUUUUGGAAUGGCCAUGAACCUUCUCCAGGAAAAUAUUAUUUCGAGGAUAGGUACAAACUUAGUUAAGUUCAUCAAGGUAGUGCAGCAAGCUGGACUUUAUGUUAAUCUCCGAAUUGGUCCCUACAUAUGUUCUGAAUGGAACUUUGGGUAAUGAUCUUCAUAAUUUGGCUUAUAAUUCAAUAUAAUAUUAGGAGUGAAAGGAGAUUAUUCUAAUGUUUCUGUACAACUCAUUAAUUAUACAAAGACCGGUAAGCAAGUCUAAUGUUUCUGCACAGAAAACUACUUUAAUAGGCAAAGUUAAUAUAAAAUGAUAGGAAAUGUUAGCAAUUUUUUCCCUUGUUAGCACUAUUUAGUUCAUUAAAAGGAAACAAAAUACUAUGAAGCUCGGUAGUGCUGCAGUUAUUAUUCCUAUUAUCUUUAACCUGCAAUAACUGAUUAAAAGAUGCUGCUUUGUUAUCACAACAUUUUGUACUGUCCUGAAUGGAGGAGGAUGAGCUAUUUCAGUAGCUCUUGUCUUGAAUCAAAAUGCUGCCAAGGUAGCUGCGACUUCGGAAACUGCUGCAUUCUCCCAAAAUCCUGCACUUGUUCUUGCUCCAGUUAUCCCAAGAAUAAAAUACUUCAUAGCCAUCUUGAAGCUUUGCAUAUUCGGUCGGAAGGCAAAGAAGGAGUACAAUGCUGCUGGUAUAUCAUUUGGAAGUAGUAGUGCAGAUACAUUUGGUGAUGCUGGUCUUCAAACUGUGGUGACUUAUCUCCGAAAUUCAAAAGAAAUUGUAAAUACUUGUCAUGUGUGUAGCAAAUUUGUUUCGCUUGUAUAUUUGUAUAUUCAUUUUAAGUUCUCUACUUUCACAGUCAGAAACAGAAGUGUCAGCUUUGAUAUUAUUAUUAAUAGUAAAUUCUAAGUGA